rnacentral:rRNA from 1 species
CUGCUGCCUCCCGUAGGAGUUUGGGCCGUGUCUCAGUCCCAAUGUGGCCGUUCACCCUCUCAGGCCGGCUACUGAUCGUUGCCUUGGUAGGCCAUUACCCCACCAACUAGCUAAUCAGACGCGGAACCAUCGUAUACCACCAGAGUUUUUCACACCGCUUCAUGCGAAGCUGUGCGCUUAUGCGGUAUUAGCACCUAUUUCUAAGUGUUAUCCCCCAGUAUACGGCAGGUUUUCCACGCGUUACUCACCCGUCCGCCAA